UGGGGAAUAUUGGAUAAUGGGGGCAACCCUGAUCCAGCCAUGCCGCGUGCGUGAAGAAGGCCCUAGGGUUGUAAAGCGCUUUCAGCGGGGAAGAUGAUGACGGUACCCGCAGAAGAAGCCCCGGCUAACUCCGUGCCAGCAGCCGCGGUAAUACGGAGGAUGCAAGCGUUAUCCGGAAUUAUUGGGCGUAAAGCGUCCGCAGGUGGCUCUUCAAGUCUGCUGUUAAAGACAGAAGCUUAACUUCUGAGAGGCGGUGGAAACUGGGGAGCUUGAGUACGGUAGGGGUUGAGGGAAUUCCCAGUGUAGCGGUGAAAUGCGUAGAGAUUGGGAAGAACACCAGUGGCGAAGGCGCUCAACUGGACCGUAACUGACACUCAGGGACGAAAGCUAGGGGAGCGAAAGGGAUUAGAUACCCCCGUAGUCC
rnacentral:rRNA from 1 species